GACGAACGCUAGCGGCGUGCCUAAUACAUGCAAGUAGGACGCAGUUGCGAACGGUUGAGUAACGCGUAGGUAACUACCUAUUAACGGGGGAUAACUAUUGGAAACGAUAGCUAAUACCGCAUACUAGUAGAUGGACCUUCGUUGUAUUAGCUAGUAGGUAGGGUAAUGGCCUACCUAGGCAAAGAUACAUAGGCUAACUGAGAGGGUGAGUCGCCACACUUGGACUGGGACAACGCCCAGACUCCUACGGGAGGGCGCAGUAGGGAAUCCUCCGCAAUGGGGGGAACCCUGACCAGGCAAAGGCGCGUGAGGGAAGAAGGUUUUCGGAUCCGAAAGCCCUGUUGGUAAGGAAGCGGUACUUAACCAGAAAGGGACGGCUAACUACGUGCCAGCAGCCGCGGUAAUAC
rnacentral:rRNA from 1 species